rnacentral:pre_miRNA from 1 species
AGGGAGUGCCAGAUCGUGGGCUGUUUCCCCCCGCGCCCUGGGAUCCGAGGCCUGCGCUGCUGGAAUUGCGUUCCCGGGUGCGCAGCUUCCU